AGCGAACGCUGGCGGCAGGCCUAACACAUGCAAGUCGAGCGGAUGAGGAAAGCUUGCUUUUCGAUUCAGCGGCGGACGGGUGAGUAAUGCCUAGGAAUCUGCCUGUUAGUGGGGGAUAACUCGGGGAAACUCGGGCUAAUACCGCAUACGUCCUACGGGAGAAAGUGGGGGAUCUUCGGACCUCACGCUAACAGAUGAGCCUAGGUCGGAUUAGCUAGUAGGUGAGGUAAUGGCUCACCUAGGCGACGAUCCGUAACUGGUCUGAGAGGAUGAUCAGUAACACUGGAACUGAGACACGGUCCAGACUCCUACGGGAGGCAGCAGUGGGGAAUAUUGGACAAUGGGCGAAAGCCUGAUCCAGCCAUGCCGCGUGUGUGAAGAAGGUCUUCGGAUUGUAAAGCACUUUAAGUUGGGAGGAAGGGUAUUCACCUAAUACGUGGGUACUUUGACGUUACCAACAGAAUAAGCACCGGCUAACUCUGUGCCAGCCGCCGCCGUAACAC
rnacentral:rRNA from 1 species